AUGGAAUUAAGUGAUAAACUCUAAUUUUCAUAUCCUUUUAGUGCGAAUUCCGACCGGUAGGUUAAUUUUAGUGUUAAAUUGAUGAGGUUGGCGUUUUAUUUCAAAGGCACUUCAAGCGAAAGUUAAUGAGAACCAGAUAAAAUACUGCCGAGAUUGUUAUCUGAGAAGUUUACGAAUCUCGAGUUUAAUUUGGAAAUAUAUGGAUAAUGUAUAUUCAAAAGAAGACUACACGGUGAUCGAUAUCCACUCUUGGUUUUCUCUUUCAAGUCCAUUUAGAAAAUGACCUUUUAACUCAAGUAUCUAAGCCACUGUAUUUGAUCUCGUUACCGAGACUCUUGCCGCUGUACAUUAAAGUAAUCAGAUCAAAACUAGUCAGAGGGAUCAAACACGGUCCAGAAAGACUAGGUGGAAAGUUUUUGGAUAAAGGAAGUUCGUAUAACGACACUUAACGAACAAGGCCCCUGACGAAACACACUGAACGCGAGGCUACCCGAGGACCUCCAGGGAAUGAGGCUCAGCUGCGAACACAUUAAGACUGCCGUUCUCUCGUUUGUAACUGGUUUUACAAGAAGGUGCAAGCAAUAUGGAGAAAGAACUUACAUUCAGAGAUACCAUCGCUAUUCAAACAAGCUUCCUUAGUUAUAUCAACCUGGAAGGCGGGAACGAGAGCCGUACAAGUUAACUGGGACUUGUGGAUACGCCAGAAAGCAAGGAUGAACUUAUCUUCAAAGGAACAGGACUUCUAGCAUCCGAUGGUCUUUUUAGUUGAGGAGUUGAGCGGUUCCUUUCAAAGAAGAAACAUCAAUAUUGAUAAGUGCCACACUUAUUGACAACGAACUCAACGAGCCUGCUACCUACUAACUUACUAAACUAAUAUAUGUCAAUAAAACAUAAGGUUGCUUGAAUACAGCACUGGGCAUUGGGUGUUUUCUUUUUUCUCUUUCUAGUUAUUCAUGUAUUAAAUAUCUUUGCCCAUA